UUGAGUGUGUGUUCUGGUCGACAUAAACACAGGAGCCAAGAAGCUCUCUACCUCAAAACCCUAAAGCUCACAAAUCCAGCAAAAUUAAAGGUGAAUCAAGCAAAGAAAUUGGGGCUUUAACUAAAUCCUUGAUCCCCUAAGCUAGGAGGUCACAAGAUGAAGGCUUGGGAGGAAGCGGGUCAAACGGAACAAGUACGAAAAGAAAACGUUGCUUGGAUGCGAGGUAAGUAUAGCUUACACUAGUCUUAAAUUGUGGAAUAUUCUCUUAUCAUAUAAAUUAUCAAUGUGAUAACUAAACAAUUGAGUAAUGAUGUUCCGUCAUGUAGUCGUACGGAACAGGAUAAUCAAAGAUGAGAGGAACCAUAAUAAUGGUUAAAUAGAAGUAAAUCGAUAAACGGUCAUUUAGACUAAACGGGUCAAAAGGUGAAAAUAUCACCCUUUGACAAUAUCGACUAAUGAAUUUGUCGAGUGUAUGAUUACAGGAAUACAUAUCAAAUGGAAAUUUGCAUCGCUAUUAGUUAGCGUUUAUUAAGCAAAGCAUUAAAUGGGUCAAUAUGUUGAUCCGAGCCAGGUAUGUGUGAUAGGUUAAUUACUCAUUUAAAACGUGAAGAUCUAUGAGAGUUAGGCUCAGUAAAAAGGGACAUACGGCUACCUUAAAAGGUAAACCGAAGGAUUUAAAUUAUAGACAAAGUGUUUUGAAAACAAGAUUUGGUUAAAAAUGAGAUUUUGGGCGUGCAUGGCUUAAGCAAGCCCUUCGUCGUAAAAGAAGAGUUAAAAAUGUCCAAAACACCCUUGUUAGUGAAAUUAAGCAAGCAACCUUUAGAAGUCGCUUGAAAACGAGUUUUAUAAUCAAGUCAAUACUUAGAACAAGUAUAAAAACGAAAGAUGUAAAUUCUGGGUCGAAAGACUCUAUAUGAGUCUUUGCCUUAAAAAUAAUAAUCCGAGGGGUAAAACUCGGAUUAAAUAGAUCACCACAUUAAAUCCACCACAAAUAUAGUUAUGGUGGGAGAUCAUUUAAUAAGAAAUGUGGACUUAUGUAUUUAGAAACAAGUGAAAGCAAUUGGCGCUUAAAAUAUGCUCAAAUACCCUUAACGGGUCAAAAUGAGCAUAUGGGUGAAAAUGGGUUUAAGAAGGUAUAUAAACCUGUAAUUUGAAACCUUUUAUGUUAAACAUUAUUGAACUUGAUAGGUUAUGGGAAAUAAGGGUCAAACAAACUUGUUUGUUUGAGAAAGAUCGAACGGGUCAAAAUUUGGUAAAAAGGGGAGUAAGCCGAACACUUAAAAGUCUGAAAUUUUACUAAACCGGAUGUUGGAUUUUAAACUCCAUAAGGUGGAGAAUUAAAUUACAAACACGUAGGAAGAAACGGUAGGUCAAACGGACAAGCGGUUUGAAAGAUACGAAAGAUUUCGUGUCAAAAACGGCAAAAUGGAAAGGUUGGAUGCAGGGGCCACCGUAACUUACGGUGCCACCGUAAGUUACGGUGGAGCUGAUAUAGAUACGAUAGGUAACCCCUGAGUUACGGUGGAAGUUUUGACAUUCAGGGGCUACCGUAAAUUACGGUACCCACCGUAAUUUACGGUGGACCCUGUAAUAAAAUAUAUUUUAAUUAGUUUCGCUUCGUGGACUCGUUUAGACAUGUUUUUAAACCCCGAAUGACUAAAGCAUUUCAUGUUUAUGAAAUGUAGGUACUUUUGGAUGCCGGAAGACGAUCAAGCUCAACGAGGAACCGAACACGAUAAAGAUACACGCUUCCGCACUUUGCAUCGUCAUUAAUUUUUAAACGACGAAUUUGAUCACGUUAUGUCAAAUGACUUAUGAUUUGUAAAAGUUUUAAUAAACCCGUAUUUCCGACGUAUAUAGCCUUGGUUUAA
rnacentral:lncRNA from 1 species